GACGAACCGUCCUAACGUUGUUCGGAAUCACUGGGCUUAAAGGGCGCGUAGGCGGGUUCCCAAGUCGGUGGUGAAAUCUUUCGGCCCAACCGGAAAACAGCCGCCGAUACUGGGAGUCUUGAGGGGAGGUAGGGGUCGAUGGAACUUCCGGUGGAGCGGUGAAAUGCGUAGAUAUCGGAAGGAACGCCGGUGGCGAAAGCGAUCGACUGGACCUUUCUGACGCUGAGGCGCGAAAGCCAGGGAGCAAACGGGG
rnacentral:rRNA from 1 species